UACGUAGGGUGCGAGCGUUAAUCGGAAUUACUGGGCGUAAAGCGUGCGCAGGCGGUUCGUUGUGUCGGUGGUGAAAUCCCCGGGCUUAACCUGGGAAUGGCCAUGGAAACUGGCGAACUGGAGUGCGGCAGAGAGGGGUGGAAUUCCGCGUGUAGCAGUGAAAUGCGUAGAGAUGCGGAGGAACACCGAUGGCGAAGGCAGCCCCCUGGGCUAGCACUGACGCUCAGGCACGAAAGCGUGGGGAGCAAACAGG
rnacentral:rRNA from 1 species